AAAAGCUGGUGAAAGAGUUAAAGGGCUUUUACAACAUGCUUGGAGCCGUGAACUGCACCUGGAGGCCAACAGACGGGACGCGGGGUUCCUCCACGCUACAGAACACCUUCCUGCUGGACCCACGCAAGAACCUGAAGCCUCCCCCCCUAACCUCAGUGUCAGUGAGGAGAGGCAUAUGCUGCGGCUGCACUGCAAAACCCCCGACGUGUUCGAAGAAAUACCAGUCCACAUCCCAGACAACAGGCAGGAGAAGUACGAAGUGCAAAGUCACGUCUUUCGAAAGUCUGGGUCCUGAUCCUGCCCCAGAUUCCCAAACCAAUGCAGCUGUUCAAAGAGCUCAUCAACAGCAAGGAGGAGGGAUCAAAUCCCGCAGAAAACGAGAUGGCUAUAUUUAGGGCAUGAGUGUGCCAGCAGGGCUCGUGCCCCGAAUCCCAGAUGCUGUAAUCUUAACUCUGUUGUCUGGCCUCCCUCUGGGUGCUGACCACUCCUGCACUGCCAUCAACGGCCUGAGCUUGGACAGCACAUCUGGAAACCCCUGUCUGCCUUGAAAUUUCUGCCUGGGAGAGACCUUGCUGAUGCAAUAUAACUACCUUGUGUCUUGCUGUGCUCAGUCUUGCCAUGGUGUAUGACUUCUGACAUUAAACUGUCUUCAGCAACCUCACCUUGGAAGCAGAGUUUGGCUGUUCCUCACCCAGUUUUAACCCUCCUACACAGCUGUUUCUGUUUCAGUUAAUGAUUGUGUUUCAACCUACAUAUUAAAUUAAUGAUCAUUAGCUCCUUGCUAAUACCUG